rnacentral:tRNA from 1 species
CCCUAGCAGCUCAUAUGGUAAAAGAAUCUGCCUGCAGUGCAGAAGUCCCAGGUUCGAUCCCUGGGUUGGGAA